AAACACGUGCCAGCAGCCGCGGCAACACGGGAUUAGACGAGUGUUAUUCAUCUUUAAUAGGUUUAAAGGGUACCUAGACAGCAAAUUUAGCCCCCACUGGGUUGGGAUGGGACAUUUUUGCUAGAGUUUUAUGUGAGAGGGAUUUAGUACUAUCAGAGUAGAGAUGAAAUUUUUUGAUACUGUAGGGCACUGAUAACGGCGAAGGCAUACCUUUAUGUAAAAACUGACGUUGAGGGACGAAGGCUUGGGUAGCAAACAGGAUUAGAUACCCUAAUAGUCCAUGCAGAGAAUAAUGAGUGCCAUAGAUUAGAUAGUUUUUGAUCUAUAAAUGAAAGUGAAAGCAUUCCACCUUAAGAGUAAUUCGGCAACGUUGGAACUGAAAUCAUUAGACCGUUUCUGAUACCAGUAGUGAAGUAUGUUGUUUAAUUCGAUGAUACACGAUAAAUCUUACCACUAACUUUAAAUUUGAAUAUACUAGCAGCUAUAGGAAAGUCUUUUAAUUUGAAUAUUAAUAAGAUGUAAAUGCUAUUUAUACAGGUGUUGCAUGGCUGUUUUUAGUUGGUGUCGUGAGAUGUAGGUUAACUUCUAUGUAAUCAACGUGAACCCACACUCUAUUUUAUUUUUUCUACACAUAGAGUUUAUGUCUGAUUCGUCGGACAAAUUGUA
rnacentral:rRNA from 1 species